AUUAACCCAUUAGCCCAACUUAUUACUUUCCUCACUAUUUUCAUAGGAACUCUUAACACAAUGCUAGGCUCACACUGAUUUCUUAUCUGAACAGGACUAGAAAUAAAGAUACUAGCUCUUACCCCAAUCUUGAUUUAAAAAAUUAAUCCCUGCUCUACAGAAGCAGCCACCAAAUAUUUUCUUACACAAGCAACCACAUCUAUAAUUCUCAUAAUAGGUAUCCUUACUAAUAACCUGUCCUCCAGACAAUGAACAAUAAUAAAUACUAUUAAUCAAUUUUCAUCCUUAAUAAUAAUAAUGGUUCUAGUAAUAAAACUAGGAAUAGCCACCUUUCACUUCUGAGUCCCAGAGGUAACCCAAGGAACCUCUCUAAUAUCUGGCAUACUUCUUCUCACACGACAAAAACUAGCCCCCAUCUCUCUUAUGUUUCACAUUUUCCCAUUAAUAAAUAUGGAUAUUCUCCUACCUUCCACAAUUCUAUCCAUUAUAGUGGGCAGUUGAGGAGGACUUAAUCAAACACAACUCUGUAAAAUCCUAGCCUACUCCUCGAGUACUCACAUAGGCUGAAUGAUAGCAGUACUAACUUAUAACCCAGACAUUACCAUUCUAAAUCUGAUUGUUUAUCUUAUUUUAACAAUUACCACAUUUCUAGUACUUAACCUGAGUAAAUGCACUACAACCCUAUCACUAUCUGGCACUUGAAAUAAAUUAACAUGAUUAACACCUAUAAUUCCACUAAUUCUAUUAUCCCUAGGUGGCUUACCUCCAUUAACACGAUUCCUGCCUAAAUGAAUUAUCAUUCAAGAAUUUACAAAAAACAAUAGUCUUAUUACCCCGAACGUUAUAGCUAUUAUAAUGCUACUCAACCUGUACUUUUAUAUACGCCUAAUUUGUUCCGUCUCAAUGACAAUAUUCCCCACAUCUAAUAAUAUGAAAAUAAAAUGACAAUUCGAAAAUACAAAAACCAUACUACUCCUCCUUCUGCUUAUCAUUUCUAUUUUCUUCUUACCAGUCUCUCCAGUAGUGUUAUUUAUUUAGAAA
rnacentral:lncRNA from 10 species